GGCCUCGGAUCAGGUAGGGAUACCCGCUGAACUUAA
rnacentral:rRNA from 1 species